rnacentral:ncRNA from 1 species
UUUAAAGUUUUUAAUCAAUUAAAGAUGCACAUGUUCUCAUAUUCCGAUUUUUAUUAGAAUUGUAAACUUAAUUAAUAAGCAUAUCUAUUUUUAUUUAUAAAUGUAUAAAAGUUUGGUUCUAGCUUAAAAAUAUGGCUCCGACUAUAAAUUACAUAUGGUUUUCUUAAGUGAGGUGAGGAUAUCACAAGUACUCAGAAAGAUAGAAAAUCUUUAUGUAAUAUGUGUAAUAAAGGUAUUUUAAGAAAAAAAUGCCUAUCAGGUUUCACUAACUCCAAUGUUGAAAAUUGAACAAUGAAUGAAAGUUUGAUUAAGCAAAGUCGUGUUGAACUUGGCUAAUUCUAGUGCCAGCAGCUGCGGUCAAUCUAGGAAGUUUAGUCAUAUUUAUAUGGUAUUUGCAGUGUAAUGUUAAGUAAAAAAAAUGAAGGCAUUAGGGGUAAAAUCCGAAAAGAGUUUAUAAGUCCUGAAAGUAUAACAUAAAAUCUGCGAAAUUUAGGUUAAAAACUAGGAUUAGAUACCCUAUUAUUCUUCACAUAAACAUAUUGCCAGGGUACUACGAACAUAGAGUUUAAAACUUAAAGAACUUGGCGGCAUUUUUUAACCAAUUAGGGGAACCUGUUUCAUAAUCGAUAAUCCACGUUAUACCUUGCCCAGUUUAUAUUAGCUUGUAUACCGUCGUCCUAAGGUAACUUCAAAGAAAAGAAGAGUUAGCAUAGGGGGGGAGGUUUCCCUCCCCCAAAAUGUCAGAUCAAGGUGCAGCUUAUAGCUAGGAGAGAAUGGGUUACAAUUAAGAAUUAUAAAUACGGAGAUAGUAUUGAAUAAUACCAUUGAAGGAGGACUUAUAAGUAAAAGAAUAUAGAAAAAUUGUUUGAAUAUGGGUCUGGAAUGUGCACAAAUCGCCCGUCGCUCUCGUCGAAAGAUGAGAUAAGUCGUAACAAAGUAAGGGUAAUGGAAAUUGUCCUUAG